UACGUAGGGGGCAAGCGUUGUCCGGAAUCAUUGGGCGUAAAGCGCGUGUAGGCGGCUUGGUAAGUCUGCUCUGAAAGCCCGGGGCUCAACCUCGAGACGCCGGUGGAAACCGUAAAGCUAGAGUCCGGAAGAGGAGAGUGGAAUUCCUGGUGUAGCGGUGAAAUGCGCAGAUAUUAGGAGGAACACCCGUGGCGAAAGCGGCUCUCUGGGACGGUACUGACGCUGAGACGCGAAAGCGUGGGGAGCAAACAGG
rnacentral:rRNA from 1 species